GGAAGUUGGAGGCCAAAGGGAAGCGCGGGGCGGAAGUAGCUGUGGCUUUGCCCUUUGGCCUUCGGGGGCUGUGUGGCUGCUCUUGUUCGCAGGGCGUUCGCUGCGCGUCUCUGCCCAGCCGCGGUUAUGAGCCGGCAUAGCCGGCUGCAGAAGCAGGUUCUGAGCCUGUACCGCGAUCUCCUGCGCGCUGGGCGCGGGAAGCCGGGCGCCGAGGCGCGGGUGCGGGCCGAGUUCCGGCAGCACGCGGGUCUGCCGCGCUCUGACGUGCUGCGCAUCGAGUACCUGUACCGCCGCGGGCGGCGCCAGCUGCAGCUGCUGCGCUCGGGCCACGCCACCGCCAUGGGAGCAUUCGUACGCCCGCGGGCCCGGACCGAGGAACCUGGGGGCGUGGGUUCCCAGCCUGACGACGGCGACGGUCCAAGGAACCCCCAGGACAGCACGGGGGCACCGGAGACCCGGCCGGCCGGACGGUGACAGACGAAGAGCAGAACUUGCUCGUUGGCGCGGUGGAGCCAGGAGGCUCGCCUGACUGCAUGGGGGGAGGGUACUAGAGAACCCGCCUAAGGUGAGAGGUCUUGAGACACUAGCUCGACGGAUUGGGGAUGUCAGAGACUCCCCCUUGGCGACGCAGGGGGCCUAGGGAGCCCCGUGGUGAACGGCAAGAGAGACCCGCCUUUUCCUAUGCUUGAAGACAAGUCGUCUCUCUUCCUCCAGGAGGGCUUGGAACGGCCUGGGACGCCGGCGGGCUGGACAGUGUCAAGCGGAGAGCUACUCGCCCCAAAGUAUGGGGAGCCAGGACGCCCCCCUGAUGGACGGGGAGAGUUUGAGACACCCUUUUCUUGACCCCUGAGAACAUAUCCACCUCUGGCUCCUCAAGAGACUCCCCUCUUCCGUAUUUAAAUCUGAGAAGUGCAGACUUCUUGCUGAGAACGUUUUGGGAAGGUGCCCUGAUGAGCGCAAAGAUUUCAGGAAUGAAUGGAAGUUUCUUAAACCUGACUGAAGGGUCCAGCCUCAGCUACAACGACAAGGCCAUGGGGCAGGGGAGUGGAGAAGAACCCCAUAGAUCACAGGCAUACUUCAUCCUGUGUCCCCGUAUGGGCCUGCCCUAGACAUUCUGUGGAGCGAUGCAUUUUGCAUCCCUGAGCUGGAUUUGCACCCAUGUCAGUGAAAUAAGUGGAAAUGAGUUCUUGCGGAUGUAGCUGUGGGGAGGAUGACCACAGGUAAGGAGCACAGACCUCAGAUCAAAGGGAGGAUGGAAUAAAAAA